rnacentral:rRNA from 1 species
CAGCAGCCGCGGUAAUACGUAGGUGGCAAGCGUUGUCCGGAAUUAUAGGGCGUAAAGGGCUCGCAGGCGGUUUCUUAAGUCUGAUGUGAAAGCCCCCGGCUCAACCGGGGAGGGUCAUUGGAAACUGGGAAACUUGAGUGCAGAAGAGGAGAGUGGAAUUCCACGUGUAGCGGUGAAAUGCGUAGAGAUGUGGAGGAACACCAGUGGCGAAGGCGACUCUCUGGUCUGUAACUGACGCUGAGGAGCGAAAGCGUGGGGAGCGAACAGGAUUAGAGACCCCGGUAGUCCCUGUCUCUUAUAC